AAAAUACGGGAGGCAGCAGUGGGGAAUUUUGGACAAUGGGCGCAAGCCUGAUCCAGCAAUGCCGCGUGUGUGAUGAAGGCCUUCGGGUUGUAAAGCACUUUUGGCGGGAACGAAAAGGACUGUGCCAAUACCACGGUUCGAUGACGGUACCCGCAGAAUAAGCACCGGCUAACUACGUGCCAGCAGCCGCGGUAAUUUUU
rnacentral:rRNA from 1 species